GGACUGUGGCUCAGUGGUAAAGCACUCGCCUCGCACGUGCGAGACACUGGGUUCAAUCCUCAGCACCA
rnacentral:tRNA from 1 species